UACGUAGGGACCAAGCGUUGUCCGGAAUCAUUGGGCGUAAAGAGCGUGUAGGCGGCUUGUUAAGUCUUGCGUGAAAUCUCGGGGCUCAACCCCGAGCGGUCGUGAGAAACUGGCAGGCUAGAGUGCGGGAGAGGAGAGUGGAAUUCCUGGUGUAGCGGUGAAAUGCGCAGAUAUCAGGAAGAACACCCGUGGCGAAGGCGGCUCUCUGGAACGCAACUGACGCUGAGACGUGAAAGCGUGGGGAGCAAACAGG
rnacentral:rRNA from 1 species